rnacentral:rRNA from 1 species
AUACGUAGGGUGCAAGCGUUAAUCGGAAUUACUGGGCGUAAAGCGUGCGCAGGCGGUUUUGUAAGACAGUGGUGAAAUCCCCGGGCUCAACCUGGGAACUGCCAUUGUGACUGCAAGGCUGGAGGGCGGCAGAGGGGGAUGGAAUUCCGCGUGUAGCAGUGAAAUGCGUAGAUAUGCGGAGGAACACCGAUGGCGAAGGCAAUCCCCUGGGCCUGCACUGACGCUCAUGCACGAAAGCGUGGGUAGCAAACAGGAUUAGAUACCCUGGUAGUCCACGCCCUAAACGAUGUCAACUGGUUGUUGGGGAUUUAUUUUCUCAGUAACGAAGCUAACGCGUGAAGUUGACCGCCUGGGGAGUACGGCCGCAAGGUUAAAACUCAAAGGAAUUGACGGGG